AACGACCCUAAAACCCCCAACCCCCUUGACCCCAUUUUCCCCUCUUUUCACCCCAAAAAAUCCAGGUGGGUGUGAAGGGCAACCCGCAAGGCUUCAACCGCGGCCUCGACUGCGACGUCAUCGUGGCCGAGGUCCGUUCCACCAGCCACAAACCCGAUGAAAUCUACGGGAUGAUCGAACGCCUCUCACCCGGAACCCGAAAAAUCGAACUCUUCGGUCGACCCCACAACGUCCAACCAAACUGGAUCACUUUGGGGAAUCAAUUGGAUGGGAUUCAUCUCCUGGACCCCGAUGUGGUGGCGCAGUUUAAGCAGCAUUACCCGGAUGGGAUCAUCUCCAAACCCAAAAAUGUGGAAUUUUAACAGCGCCGUUUUGGGGCGAUUUACCCAAAAAUGAUCAUUUUCCCCCUCCUUUCAUCCCAGCGACCCAAAAAUCUGCGUUUUCAAGCCACGUUUUUGGGCAAAAACACCCAAAAAUGAAUCCUGAAAUCAGCACCCGGUUGGGUUCAUCUCCAAACCCAAAAAUGUGUAAUUUUAGCAGCGCCGUUUUGGGGCGAUUUACCCAAAAAUGAUCAUUUUCCCCCUCCUUUCCCACCCAUGACCCAAAAAUCUGCGUUUUCAAGCCACGUUUUGGGGUAAAAAGACCCAAAAAAUGAAUCCUGGAAGCGGCACCCGGAUGGGAUCAUCUCCAAACCCAAAAAUGUGGAAUUUUAACGGCGCCGUUUUGGGGCAGUUUACCCAAAAAUGAUCAUUUUCCCCCUCCUUUCAUCCCAAUGACCCAAAAAUCUGCGUUUUCAAGCCACGUUUUGGGGCAAAAACACCCCAAAAAUGUCCUGAAAUGUCAGCACCCGGUUGGGUUCAUCUCCAAACCCAAAAAUGUGGAAUUUUAGCAGCGCCGUUUUGGGGCGAUUUACCCAAAAAUGAUCAUUUUCCCCCUCCUUUCAUCCCAAUGACCCAAAAAUCUGCGUUUUCAAGCCACGUUUUGGGGCAAAAACACCCAAAAAAUG